UACGGGGGGGGCAAGCGUUGAUCGGAAUUACUGGGCGUAAAGCGUGCGCAGGCGGCGGCUCAAGUCAGGUGUGAAAUCCCCGGGCUUAACCUGGGAAUUGCGCUUGAAACUAGGCUGCUUGAGUGUGGCAGAGGGGGGUGGAAUUCCACGUGUAGCAGUGAAAUGCGUAGAGAUGUGGAGGAACACCGAUGGCGAAGGCAGCCCCCUGGGUCAACACUGACGCUCAUGCACGAAAGCGUGGGGAGCAAACAGG
rnacentral:rRNA from 1 species